rnacentral:rRNA from 1 species
UACAGGGGGUGCAAACGUUGCUCGGAAUUAUUGGGCGUAAAGCGCGCGUAGGCGGCUACUUAAGUCGGAUGUGAAAGCCCCCGGCUCAACUGGGGAGGGUCAUUCGAUACUGAUCGACUCGAAGGCAGGAGAGGGUAGUGGAAUUCCCGGUGUAGUGGUGAAAUGCGUAGAUAUCGGGAGGAACACCAGUGGCGAAGGCGACUACCUGGCCUGUUCUUGACGCUGAGGCGCGAAAGCUAGGGGAGCAAACGGG